AACGAACGCUGGCGGCAUGCCUAACACAUGCAAGUCGAACGAGACCUUCGGGUCUAGUGGCGCACGGGUGCGUAACGCGUGGGAACCUGCCCUUAGGUUCGGAAUAACUCCCCGAAAGGGGUGCUAAUACCGGAUAAUGUCUUCGGACCAAAGAUUUAUCGCCUUUGGAUGGGCCCGCGUUGGAUUAGCUAGUUGGUAGGGUAAAAGCCUACCAAGGCGACGAUCCAUAGCUGGUCUGAGAGGAUGAUCAGCCACACUGGGACUGAGACACGGCCCAGACUCCUACGGGAGGCAGCAGUGGGGAAUAUUGGACAAUGGGGGAAAGCCUGAUCCAGUAAUGCCGGGUGAGUGAUGAAGGCCUUAGGGUUGUAAAGCUCUUUUACCCGGGAUGAUAAUGACAGUACCGGGAGAAUAAGCUCCGGCUAACUCCGUG
rnacentral:rRNA from 1 species